CAAAAUAAACCUGGGAGCACCAGGCCUUCAAUGUAGUCUCAAUGCUCAGAAAUCUCAUAGCCAACAAGUGUGUAGGUGUGUCAGAGUUUCCUAAGGACUUCAAGGAUCCCGGGUAGUGCUCACACCAAGACCUUUCUCAAGUGGGGACUGGUUAUGUGCAGUGUGAAAAAGCCAGCCCCUAUAUGCCAGAGUACAGAGAGAUCUCAAGGAUCCCUAAGCAGUACACAUAUUAGAGGGGCAGAACUUAAUAACCUAAGAGUAAGUGGGAGUGCUUGAAAAGACUUAGUGAAAACAAUGUGGAGAUAACUUCUUAGGAGUGAAAAAAAAUUCUGGAAUAGACCAGUUUUAGGAAAAUACUAGGGAUGAAAGCCAGUUUUUAGAAGAAUACAGAUAACAUUUUUGAAAACAGUUCAGAGGAGAACAAAAUUCAGUAGGGAGCCAGUCAAUCAUAGAAGGUUCAGAUUCACAGACACUUUAGCAGGUAGGUUUUCACCCAAGGGUGAAAGGGAUUGGGAACAUAUAAGCAUCUCAUUGAGGGUACAUGAAUAGGGGCAAGGAGGCAUGUAGACAACAUAGAGCUUCAUAGUCUUAAUGAAUUAACCAGGAUAGCAGGCAACUAAAACAUGGAGCAAAGAUAUAGAAAACAGAAUCAAACACACAAGUAGGGUCAUAACAUGAUCACAUUGCUAAAGGAUUAAUCAUGAAUCAACACACAGUCUAUUCAAGCAUCAGAUAAACAUGUAAAGUGUAGACAUGCUAAUUGUACAUUGAAUAGGGCAGAAUUUAGGCCUACUUAAGAAAAGAAGUCCAAUUCAUAAUGAAACACAUAGAGUUUGAAUUUCAAUUGUAACUAGAGACAUACCAGUUGAGGAAAAGAGUGCAGAAUAUAGAGCAAGUAUAGUCUCACUAUCUAGCCUUGGCUAGACCCACAAUAGCACAAGUAACACAAGUAGCCAAGAAGGAGAAGAGUUUGAGUGUGUGUGUGUUAUGAACUGAUGUUCGUUUUUGUAGAAUGAGAAUGCAUUCAUAUAUAUAUAGGAGUCGGAUAGUAUAGGUAAGUAAGGCAAGGCAGAUUGUCAUUGCAAAAAUAAGGCAAGAAAUAAUCAAACAAUCAAUCAAGUAAAGUCAGUCAUGAACAAAUUAGUAGUAAAAUCAUGCUAGUACUACUUGAUUUAAGGAAAAUUAUAUAUGGAAUCAAUCAGUAAUUAAGGGCUAGGUUAAAUAAGACAAGAACUAACUCUAAAAUCAAUUAGAAGUUGGUUCUGAAAAUCAAAGCAUAAAAUCAGGCCAGCAGCACCAAUUAUUAAUCGCACAUAAAUUAAGAACAGGUAAAAUCUAAUAAGGAAACAUCGGUACUAAAAGAAAGCCCAAUUUCAAGCCCUAAUUUAGGUAAGUGAAAUUAAUUAACAAUUAGUCGAUAGAGUUAAGGCAAACGGGCAGAAAUAGUAAGAUGAUUGGUUAAAUAAUCAGAACUAUAAGAGAUUAGGCAGAAAUACAGAAACAUAUAGUAAACAAAAUAAAUAAGGAAACCCUAAUAGAUACUCAGAGACGAAAACGUAUAAAAGUUAAAUAUUUUGUAGAGAAAUCCGUUGAAAUCAAGACCCUAAUUCUAGGAUAAACCAAAAUCAGUCAGGAAUAAUAAUAAUAAUAAUAGGGAAAGAUCAGAAAAUAUCGAGGUGGAAGUACUGAAAAUUUGAAGAAGAAAUACUAAAAUAAACAUGAAAUUGUUUCAGAUCUGAGAAGAUCUAAACAAAUUUAACCAAAAAUUAGCCAAGUUCAUAAAAUAAGCAGUGGUUGAACCAAAUCUGGUUUGAACCGGAGAUUUAAAACCCUAAAAAUACGAAGAUAUUCGUACUCACAGGUAUUAAAAUGAACAUAGACGGAAAUAGUCAAGACAUGAAAGAUUUUGAACCAGAUCUGGCUCGAGCUUGGCCAGAUUUGCUUUGCCAUGUUAGGAAGCAACUAAAUAGGGUCGUAGACGAGUAACCAUCGGUGAAUAGAGAUCGAUAAUGUAAGGGAAUCCAUGGCUGAUUCCAUUUUGGGUCAGAAUCGGAGAAGAUAACAAGUGAUGGCGCUAGGGUUAGAGAGGGGUGAGAGAUGAGAGUAUAUAUGAGGGCGGCGGGUUUGAAAGAAUGGGUAGGGUUAGGGUUUUUUUUAUAUAUUAAAAGGGGUUGGUUGAUUUAGGGCCGUUGAUCUUCUGAGAUCAAUGGCCAGGAUUAGAUGUCUAGGUGGGGCGGAUUUAAUUAGAUGGGUAUUUGGGUUUGGGUUUGGGUUGGACGGGUAUGGGUAAUUGGGCUAGGCUAGAUUUGAAAUUGGGUAUUUUCUAGGGGCUAGGUUUUAAAUACCCAAUUAAUAUAGUAAAAUAAUUUUAUAAAAUAAUAUAUAAAUGAUAAAAAUGUAAUUUAUACAUGAAAAUGCUUUAAAAUACUUAAUUAAUAUUAUAAAAUAUGAAAAGUCAUUUUCUAUAUGGAUAAUAUAAUUGUGCAUAUAUAUAGGUUAUUGUUGCAAAAAUAUGCAAUUCUAGCCUAAAAAUGUAAAUGUGAUUAUAAAAAAUACAAUUAAAAUAUUAAAGCAUUAUAUGGGCAUAAAUGAUGAAUUUAAAUGAUUAAAUCAUCAUAAAAAUAAUAUGAAGAAUAAUUAUUGUAUAUUUGUAUAAAUAAAAAAUACAGAAAUAAAUUGACUUAAGGCCUGUAAAAUUAUAAAAAAAUUAUAAAAACACUUGUGCAUGUUUGUAAAUGCGUAUACAAUAUUUUAAAAGUACGUAUGCAGAUUUAAAUAUAUAUAUGAAGGAAAAAUUAGGUAUCAACAGACCUCACUUGCUUAAGUGUCAUGGAUAUUUAUCACCUCCUUUAGCAUAAGAGGCUUGAGCAUACUAACCUAAGUCAACUUAAUAAACUAGUCUCUAAGAACUUGGUAAGAAGGAUACCUAAUAUCAAGUUUAAGGAAGAUAAAGUUUGUGAGAUAUGUGCAAGGGGAAAGCAAGUAAAUCUUCCUUCAAAAGUAAGAAAGAGGUAAGUACUAUCGGGUCGAUAAAACUGGUCCAUGUGGAUCUGUGUGAACCAAAUAGAACAAUGAACAGAGAUGGUAUGAGAUAUGUUUUGAUGCUAGUUGAUGAUCACUCUAGAUUUACUUGGACUCUGUUUUUAACAUCUAAAGAUGAAACAUUUGAUAUGUUCAUUUCAUUAGUUAGAAAAACUCAAAAAUAACUAGGUAAUCAACUUGUAUCCAUUAGGUUUGAUCAUGGUACUAAAUUGAGAACGCUAAGUUUGCUAAAUUUUAUAAUGAACAUGGUAUAAAUCAUAAUUUUUUUGCCCCUAAAACUCCACAGUAAAAUGGAAUAGUUGAAAGAAAAAAAUAGGACUUUAGAAAAAAUGGUAAGAACCAUAUUAAUUGUUAGUAGUUUGCCUCAUAACAUUUGGGCAGAAGUUGUAAAUAUUGCAUGUUAUACCAUAAAUAGUUGCAUGACUAGACCUUUUGUUGAGAAAACUUACUAUGAGUUACUUAAAGUGAGAAAAUCCAAUAUAUCUCAUCUUAGGCCAUUUGGUUGUAAAUGCUUUGACCAUAAUAAUGGAAGAAUACCCUAAGUAAGUUUGAUCCCAAAAGUGAUAACAGAGUAUUCUUGGGAUAUUCUUCACAUAGUAAAGUAUAAAAUAUACAAUAAGAGAACUGGAUCUUCUUUAAAGAAUCUUUGUGAUUUUGAUAUUUUUUUGUUACUUAUUGAACCUAAAAUUAUUUUUGAGGCUUUGUUUGCCGGAUUAGAUUUGGUAAAUGCAAUGUAGGAUGAACGCAAUCAAUUUAAAAGAUAUGAAGUUUGGAACCUUUCCCCCCAUCAAGUCUUCUUGAUGUAUGACCCAAAGAGAAUUGAGAAGGAAAUAAAAUGCCAAACGAAAGAGUGAGUCCAAUCACUAAUGUGGGAGGAGUCCGGAACCAAAGCGUGGUUCUUUUGAACUCAAGCGACGCAAUUAAGUAAAAAUAAAAUGGGUACCGUUUUAUAUAUAGCGCGAUUAUUCACCGCGAUAUACCUUAACUGCACGUUUGCCCGUUAAGGUAUAACGUAAUGAAUAACCGCGCUAUAUUUGAACUCAAAAUGGCGGGCUGUAUAGCGCACAUAUAGGACGCGCUAUAGUAUAGCGCCCUAUAUACAUGCGUUAUACAUACAUAAAAAGCGGGCCUCCAUCUUCCCCGACCAGAGAUCCAGAACUCCCCCCAAACCCCAUUCCAGCGGUCACCCCCUCCCCCCCUCCCCCCUUACAUUUUUAAAGCAAAAAAAUCUGAGUGGAUCCCACCCGUCCCAUAAAAAGUGUAUCUUCUCCGUAUUGUAGCAAGCUAAAACCGGAUUUAAGAUGUUAUCGCGUAGUGGUUUGUCGUUUCGGUCCCCAAAUCAUCAAAUCUUCACCUUUUAAAAAUUUUAAAAUCGAGGUAUUCCGACUUACUUUUUGGUAAAACUCAUGUAUAGAAAAUACGUAUUAGUUGCUUUUUACUGUAAUCUAUGGUUUUUUGUAAUUAUUUUGUGAUUUAAUUAAUUUGUUAUUAUUUUAUCUGAAUUAGAUUAUUUAUGUGCUAAAAAGUUAGUAAAAUAGAUAAACUAUUAUUUUAUGAAUAAUUAAUGUUAUUAUUUGUUAUAAAAAUAUUUAUUAGUUAUUUUUUACUGUGGUAUAUAUUUUUUCGUGAUUGUUUUGUGAUUAAAUUAGUUUGUUAUUUUUAUCCGGAUUAGAUUAUUUAUGUGCUAAAAGAUUAGUAAAAUAGUUAAAUUAUUAUUUUAUGAGUAAUUAAUAUUAUUUAGAAUUGUUGUACGUAUAUUAAUAUUUGACUUUAUUAUUUUUUAGUGACUUUAGUCUUAUGUAAUGCCCAAAUUGUAAUGUGGUGCCCAUAAUUGUAAUAUAGUGCCCUUUAGCGUAGUAAAAUGUUGUGCCCUUUAGUGUAGUAUCUUUGUAGUUAUUGAAAUUAAUUAUAUAAUUAUCUGUUAAUCCCAAAAAUAUCUGGGAAAAACAAAAAUGAUAAUUCAAACACAAACUCUUUCCAAUUUUAGUCAACAAAUGUAAGAGAAUAACAUUAAAAAUAUUAAUAUUUGUCAAACUAAGUAUUUUUAUAUGAAUACUUAUUAAUUAUAUCAUGUAUAGUUAUAAAAAUUAAUUAUCUAAUUCUAUUAUACCCAAAAAUAGGUGAGUAAGAAACAAACAUGUAAAAUAAUAAACUAACAUAUAAAAUAAGAAACUAACAUAUAAAAUAAUAAACUAACAUAUAAAAUAAUAAUAUAGAAAAUGUAUCAACCUAAGUAAUAAUAUAGCAAAAAUAUCGAUUAAAUAUUAAUAUAAAAGAUAUCGCAAUAUAUUUAAAGACGUUAAGCAAUUAAAUAGAAAAAUACUUUAAUUAAUAUUGUUCAAUUUACAAACAUCGUCAUGGAGGUUCCCCCUAUGCAUCCCGGACCUGCAUCUCGAGAGCUACUGUUGCUACAGGGCAACCAUAGGUCUUCAUACCUCUGGGAUGGGAAGUGUAUGUCCCAGACAUUCCGCCCCAGACAUAUAGAUGAAAUGUGGGAGUUCAUUAGGGAUCACCCACUCCAUCCACGUAUAGUUAGACGCCUUCGGGGUACGGGUUUCUAAAGGAUCAUAGAGAUUGGCUGAUUGCAGUUUGACUGGGCAUUGAUCACGACUAUGAUAGAGCGGUGGCGAAUGGAGACGCACGCGUUUCAUCUACCCGUCGGCAAAGCUAUCAUCACGCUUGAGGACGUAGAGGUUCUUUUCGGGCUGCCGGAUGAUGGAUUACCUGUAACUUACCUGCAUGCUCUUAGAGACUACAAGGGAGUGGAUUACCUGCAUAUGUUGUAGUGGCUCACCGAUUUCCAGCCAGCGGAGCCGACUGCAUUCAGUAGGGCCAGUCGAUUGUAGCUAACACCCGUCCGGCAGCAUCUGGCAGCGAUGGAUGUGGAGAUUACGAAUGAUUCAACGCCGGAGGAUAUCGACCGGCAUACAAGAUUGUUGUUGCUGCUGAUAUUUGAUGGUGUACUCUUCCCGAAAACUUCAAAAAACCUAGUCAGUUUGAGAUUUCUACAUCAUCUAGAAUGGCUAGAUGAUUACCUUCUUACAGAUUGGGUGCAGCUGUUCUAGGUUACCUGUAUAGGCAGAUAUGUCGAGCGUGCAAGGGUACCCAGAGAGACAUUACCGGAUUUUUACCGUUGCUGCAGGUGAAAGCAUAGUCAAUUCUUUUUAUGAUUAUAACAUAUAUAGUAAAACAAUACCUUAAAUUUUACGUCCAUAAUCUAUAUUAGGUUUGGGCCUGGGAGCGAUUCCUACAGUUCCAGCCACCUCUACCACCGAGGCUCGAUAUCAUCUCCCUUAUUACAAGAAUUUGUUGGAUUUGCUUGAAGGCACGCGAGUACGUAUAUACUUAAGUUUACUUGGCAUGGAUUUAUAUGUGUUGCAUUUACUCACGAUUCCUGUGUUUAAUAAAUAAUUCGUAUAUAGGCCAUAUAGCGACGCGCUCAUAACUGGUUUGCCCGAUUAUUGCUCCCACGAUCGAGCUAUGUGGAGCUCUUCCGUCUUAUUGACAUGUCUCGAUAUUGUCGAGCAUCAUGCCACCGAGCAAGUACUUCGCCAAUUUGGUCGACCGCAACUUGUACAUAUUCCGCCCACUUGGCUUAGGACACAUUACUAGCGGGAUGAUCAUUGCAGGGUUGUCUACACAUACUUGGCCUGGCUAGAGGCCUAGAUUGAGGUUUAGGACCAGAGGUAUGACCUAAUUCUGCCACACCUUCCACCUGAGUGUACGGAUGGCGUGCAUGAGUAUAUGGAUUGUUAUCGCAGUGUUACAUGACUUCUCAUCGGGAAUCCCAUUCAGCGUGCUGGUGGUCGGUACAUUCCAUACGCCGGGAGGCAUGAGACACUGGUAUGUUAUUUAUUAUACUUACUUAUAACGUUACAUUAUCCUUCCAUAAUUAAUAUUUUACAUGUUAUGCAGGCUAUUGGCUUACAUCAGUUCUACUAGUUGGGACUGCAGAUGUUGCAGUAAACCGGUGAGGGAGCGGCAACUUUGCACGUAUUUGGCCAUCGGGUUACUGACCUUGUUGUCGAGGUAUUGAGACAUGCCCGAGAUUAUGAGCUCUUAGGAUACGAUGUUGUUUAUGUGCCGCUAGAGGAGUACGAUCAUGGGCCACCAGUGGAGCCUUAACGUGGUAGACGUGGCAGAUAUGACCAGAGCGGAAGGGGUGUCCCACGAGGUCGUGGUGGUCGGCGAGGACGGGGUCCCCAACAAGGGGGCGUUGAGGCACCCGUGGAGGAUAUUGGAGAUUAUCAGCCGGGUGAACACCCUGAGCCACACAAUGCUCCUCAUAAUAUGCUGUCAUUUAGCCUUCAGCUGUCGCCAGGGACUUCAUAGGUGACCCCGUCAGCUCUAUUAUUGAUCGUGGGCAUGACUAUUACGUGCCAGGAGUGGUAUCAGUAUUUUCCUGAUCCCCAGAGCCAUCGACGGUUGCUGAUGAUUGUCCGAUAUGAGAGGUGCAUAGUGGGCAACGACUGAGUUAUGGCUCAUCACCGAGAGAUGCUGAGGAUCUUUCACAUACUUCAUCUACUCCAGUGAACCUCGAUGUUCCGACAGAGCAGUGUGGCGCUACUCAAGCACAUGUAUGUUUGAAUUAUUAUUAUUUCAAUUUGUUUUUAUGUCAUUGAUUAGUCAGUAAUAUCUAAAGUGUUUUUAUUUGUUUAAAGAUUUCAUCAUGUCCCGUCAUCGAGGCCGCAUUGUGCGAUACUGACAUACCGGAGAUGGAUGAUUUUUUUCAGGAGCCUACUGAGACCAUGGUAUGACCAUUAAAAAAAUGUUGCUAAUACGUACGUUAGUAUUUUAUAUUUUAUAUAUUAAAAUAUCUUAUUAUUCGGUAGGUUUUUGUUGGCCCAACGGCCGCUUCUACCGAGUCUGCCAGCCUUAUUGACGAUCAUGUUGCAGCGCAUCCUCCGAUAAAGAGGCGACGUCAUGAGGAUGAUCCUAAUAGUGUAGCUGGGUGGGAUGGGAUGCGACUCAGGCCAGUCAAUACUUUAAAGCAUACAGGUUGUGGGACACAUUGAUAUUUAUUAUUAUUUGUAUAUAUGACAUUAAAUAUAUAAUAUCAACAUUAUUUAUGUUUUACAUAAUUUGCGCAUGUAUUUUUAUUUCUCGGGUUAUUUAUCAGUUUAACACUAGAACACAAAAAAACAAUAGCUUAACAUAAAUAUAAAUUCGUUACCAAUUAAAGAUAAUACAUGACACGUACAAGAUAAAAAUAAACACUACACUAAACGCAUCCAUGUGUUUGCUUAGUCACUAUCACUCAUUAUUUUGUGCUUCAACCACUUAAAUUUCUCUUCCAACCUAUUUUUUUCUUCUUUUGCCUCUUUUAGUUUCUCCUUCACUGCCGCAAGUUAUUCUUGUAGUUUCAUGAUCUGGAGUUUGUAUUCACCGGUCAGAUUCCAAAUGUUUAGCAAACAUAAUUUGUAGUAUUCCUGAUUAAUGGGUUCAUCAUAUCAUUCUUCAAAACCAUAUUGAUUUUUGUCCUACUAAUGGGAGAAUAACACAAGACUUUUAAUUAACAUGUUAUAUAAAAAGUAUUAACAAACAUUUUUUUCCAAGAAUAAUAACUUACAACUUGUGUACACAUCCAACGUCUGCGCCCCAGAUUGCAAUUUGACCAACAUGACUUCAAAAUUGCACGUUUGCCAUAGUAAGACCUUGGUACGUAAUUGCGUCCAGACAUGUCAUAAUGAUUAAAAAUGAAAAAUUAAUGGAAAGUUUUUCUAUUCGUUUCGUUACGACACAAAUAAUAACUAAAAUGUGCGAGGUUUUUAUAAGCUUCUAAGAGUGAUUUUAGGUUAUAGAACGCAUAUUGGUGAGGCGCUAUGUUUCGCAUGAUAAUGAUUCUUUAGGGUACAAGUGAGUCCAACUUUUUCAGGUCGACAGCUUUUUCAGAUCAACAGCUUUUUCAGGUCGAUAUGACAACACAUAAAAGUCCGUGCAACUUAGUUCUUCUUAAGUUGAACCAAGAGAUUAGUAUUCAAAUACUAUUUAAAGAACCAUUACAACAUUCAUUUUAGAAAUGCCGCUAACAUUUAAUAAGUAAUUUAACAAGAGGCAAAAAGGCGAAGGCAGUUCAAAAGAUCUACAUGGAACACGUCAAAUUACAAUCGAUCCUUACCUUGAAAAAAAUAUGCUAGGUUGCUAUACAGAUUUGGUCGAUGAUAAGUGGUAUAGUGUUCUACGUCCCUUGGAAAACAAGCUUAUCAAUAUACACACUGAUCUCAAAGUUGCAGGGCACAUUAUUGAGGGCGAAGAACGAGCCUGACCGUAUGUGAAUUUGGGGAGAAAAAUUUCAAUGGUUUCCCCUUUAUUCAAAAUGAUGUGAUUAUGAAGUGCUACGUCACUAACAUGGGCUUGUUGUACCACAAGAACCGUCUGCAACCUUCUAAAGAACAUACAAAGAUGAACCAGAAGUGAUUCGACAUUUGAUGAAGGAGAUUCUAGAGAUGAAAAAGACACUAGAUGUUCAUCAUGCAAUGAAUAAUCUUAACUACCUGGGAGGAACGGGGGAUCAGUACUGGAAUUUAUUAGAAAAUGAAAAAUUGCAUAGAGACAAUGAUUAUCCUGUUUUCUCAACAAUUGUCGAGUGGGAGGGACUACCUAAGUUUCUACCAUAGAUGUUGGACGUAAGAGUCUCAUAUUGUUGUAGAAAUCAAGCAAGUGGUCUUAUUGAUGAUAGUGAUGAAAUAUGAGAAAUUUAUGUCAACUAGGGCCUAAAUUACGAUGCCCUCGGUCCGGACGGGUGCGUACAAGAUGCUGACGAAGAAGAUGAAGACAGUGACAAUAAAAUAGUGUCAAACAGUGACGAUAAUGGCGAAUGAAAAUUAUUACUUUCUUGGGGUAUAUGUUAAAUUGUUCUAUUAAAUCUUUAAUGUUAAAUAUCAACUAGAUUUAACCCCACUGGAAACAUAAUUUUUUUAUAUAAAUUUUGCAAACUGAACAUUUACAGGCAUUUAGUGCAACAAAUUUACUGCAAUAAAACACUUCGUUUAUCCUUGAUAAUUGGGCACAAUGGAUGAACUUCCACCUGGAGCUGAAUUACCACCGCUUCCCAAACUAGCUGAAGGAUAUUUGCGGCGGUCGUGUCCUUUUUAGGAACAUAUGCCACAUUUACACGCAUAAACGGUAUCACCAACAUCCAUUUAGUUCUGUAUUCGUGUUCUUUUUUGCACUUGCAGUUGAUGCACAUAAUCCUUGUUACACACCAUUUUAAAUGGUUUCGGCAACCAAUAAUGCUCAGCACCCACUGGCUGCAAUUGUCCACUAUAGGUAUUUAAGUAUGCAGCAAUACUAUAUUAUUUAUCAACGUACCUUGUUGCCGUGAAAUAUGUAUGUUGAAAGCACUUCAUGGCAUGUGAGCAUGGCAAGUGAUAGAUUGACCAUUUUUCACAGGAGCAUAAUCUUCUGGCUUCAUUGACGGUGUGUGUAUUAUUCUCCCGGUUGUGAUGCAGACCAGUAUGAACUUCAAAAAUAUUUCGCUCGCUGCAAUAGUGCAAAAAUGAAUGCCAUUGUGCUCGCUUCCUAUAUUUCUCAAAUCGCUUCAUUAGUUGUUGCAUAAAUUCAAUACCCCUUUCCAUCAAUGAUGAUGCACCUCUAGAUCAUUCAACAAACCUCUUUGUCAUCUGCUUGAAUGACAUCCGCACCAUGGUAGUGACAAGCAAUCCACGUGCAGCCUUCAAUAACCCAUUGAAAAACUCUGAUACAUUUGUAGUCAGAAUUUCCCAUCUUUUACCACCAUCCGCAUGCAAAGUCCACUUGUCAAGCCCAUGUCUUAUCAACCAACGAUACACUUCUUGGUCUUCCUGUCUGAUCAAUUCCAUUUGGCUCCUGAAUUUACACUCUUGGUGAUCUGUUGUAUCCAUCCAUAUUAAAUCAUGUAAGGCCUUAUUCAGAUAAGCCCUCUGUAAGUUGGCCUUCAAGUGCCUAACACAGUAAUUGUGGUAGGCAUACGGUUCCUGCCAUGCAUGCAAAUUCUGUAUAGAACUUAAAAUACCGCUAAGCCGAUCAAAUAUUAGACAAAUACAUGAAUGUUAUCUGACAACGUGCUCCUUCAAGUGGUUCAAAAAUAAUAUCCACAUCUCUUGGCUUUCAUUGGCACAAAUAGCAAAUGCUAGGGGAAAUAUGCUUUCAUUAGCAUUUACUUCAAUGGCGACCAACAGUUUAAUAUCAUGCUUUCCAUAGACAUGAGUGCCAUCUAUGGUUAUUACCGGCCGACAAUGCACAAAACUAUCAAUGGAUGGUUUAAAUGCCCAGAACAAAAAUAUGUGUUUUGGUUUUUCCGGACUCCACUCAAGCUUCCAUUCAACAAUAGUCCCGAGAUUAAAGUGUAGCAAUGCAGCGAUGUUCCUGGGUAGAGAGGCAAAGGACUUAUCCCAGUUACCAUAAAUAAUUUCAAACGCACGUUUGCGUACGAGAAAUACCUUUCUUAUGGUAAUGGUACACCCAUAUACUUGGUGGGUAGAUGUUAUACACUCUUUAAUCUUGUACCUUAUGGACGCUUCAAUGUGUGGAAUCAAGACAAGAGAAAUCAAGUCAACAUUCAAGUUAAAAUGAUUCCCACUGAAUGUGUCCAUUUCACAAUUGUGGGUGCCAAUGUAUUUUCCCACAAUCCACAUAUUUGUUUUCAACUUUCUCGCACCCAAUUAAAACCUUGAAACCAUCUACGACAAAUAACCUUGUAUACUUCCAGAGAUGGCUCAUGAACCACAAUCUCACGACACUCUUUUAUGCUAUACAUUUGCACCGCCCUGCUUAGGCGCGCUUUAUUAGCAAAAAGCAUGCCCUUUGACAGCACCGUUGCUCUAGAUUCAUCCCAUAUUAUUGUCUGAAUUUCAUCAAGAUCCCUUGUGAGGGCAUCCAUAUCCGGCGUACUUGGAAACUGAUCAAGGUACAGAAUCUCCCAUUAAUGAAACGGCACAUGGGAAUCAUACACUCUUGGUCUAACAGGAGAUGGAGCAUGCUCUCUCAUCAAAUCAGGUUCAUCAUUCUCGUCCUCAUCAUCAUCACCCUCAUCAGAGAAGGGUGUGUCAUCUCCACACUCAUCACCAUUAUUGUUAUAAUCACUAUCAUCUUCUUGACUCUACGCAUAUGCCAGAUCCCGAUUAAAUAUGUCGUCUUCGGCAAUUGAGUAUAGGUCGGGACCUUCAAGUUGCUCGUUUUCACUGCACAACCAAUAAAAUAAUGAGUUUCUCAAAUUCAUCCAAAUAUUACAUAUAAACUUUAUCACUUCACUUACAAAUCAUAACGCGCUGAUAUCCCAUGAUGCACAUUAUCCUGUUGAUGAUGACUCCCGGAUGGACCACCAUGAUCCAACACACCAAAAUUAGGCAUAUUCCAACUAUCUGUUGGUUCAUAACUUGUAAAAUUCAUAUCUGGCCGAUACCCCCUGUGAAAUAUAUAAGUGUUAAUAUAAAUUCAAUACAUAAAAAUAAACAUCGUAACACAAAGAAAAAUUAAAGUUUAUCACUCGGCUUGUGGAUUAUGAUAAACUUGGGGAGCAAUUAUAUCGUCGCUCCUCAUUCGCCCGUGGAAAUAAGUUUAGAUCUGGACGAACUCUUUCACCCAGAACCUGUUCAGAUAAAACUACUCCAAAAUAACAACCCGAUGAUUGAGGGAUAUUCCUACUUUGUGGAACCUCAUUAUUGAGAACGUCUUCGGCCUUGACGUACAUUUCCAACAUUUUUAGCAUAAGAAGUUUCCGGUGUUCAUCCGGAGUCCUCAAAAUAUCUGUCAGAGUUUCAUCCUCUUCGAUGUUAAACUCAACAUAACAAGCAACUCCUUGCGGAGUAACAGAAUACGACUAUCUUCCGGUUACUUUAAUAUUCACCGAAUGUUUGCUCACACUCAUCCUUUUACAUAACAACGAUAUCAAUCUAUCGUACUCCAUUGUAAGUUACAACUUAACAUGACAAUGUAAAGAACAACUAUAGCGUACUGAGUUAUUCUCUAUAGCAACCUCACCCCCCCCCCCCCCCAAAUAUAAUGAAACCCUAAUUUUUUGCUCUUCGGACAUUAUGCCAAAAUGCAAAAUAACUUAAAGAACAAAUAUUUAAGAAGACCGGAAGGAUACUGAAUGAAUUUUUAUCAAAUUCUGAAACUCCUUAAAUAAGAAAAAACCAGUCCGGGAGGUAAAAUAAUUGAGGUGUAGUGCAUGCAUAAUAGACGCUAUAUAUUUAGCGCGUAUUUUGCAUGCACUAUACCCAUAUGAAUUAUUGGUGGGUCAGUGCAAAUGAAUUAUUGGUGGGGCAAGACAUUUUAUAUAUAGCGUGGUUAUUCACCGCGGUAUACCUUAACGGAUGUCGUUAAGGUAUAGCAUGGUGAAUAACCGUGCUAUAUAUAAAAUAGUACCCAGUUUGUUUUUUUGUUUACCUAUUUGGGUCGUUUGAGUCCAAAAGAACCCCACUUUGGUUCUGGACUCCUAAGUGGGAGGUAAAUAUAAUUGUUCAAACUAGAUGGGGGUCUUUUAACUAUCAUAAACAAGAGGGUGGAUACAAUAAAUACGCAAUUUCUCGGUUUGCCCCUCAACGCAUUCCUCGGUUUGCGAGACAGAAACUGGAUAUUAUUAGAGCCUAAUUUGCGAUAAUAGGAUAAAAAGGAAAUAAAAAAGAAUCAAGAAAAGGAAAAAGAACGUGUUGAUCAGAAAAAAUACCUUUAGCCUCUUUUCUCUGUUGUAUCUUUCAGGUAGGUAUCUAUCUGAUCUCACCAUUAAAUUUCCACUAGACCCUGAAUCUGAAGCCGAAAAAAUCAAUUGAAGUAGUUGCUGUAAGGUAAAAAGCUAAAGGGGUUUUAAUCUUUAAUCAUUUUUCUCAUUCUAUUCCUUUGAAAUUUGUUAUAUUUCCUUAGUCUAUCAGUUUUUGGCUUUUGUGAUGCUUCUUCUGAUGACCCUUUUGAGCUGAAAAUGACUCAAUUUUCAAGAAUUGAGGAAUCCACUUGAAAAAGUAUUAAAGAUAAGUGUUUUUACGAUACCCGCAAUGCUAAUUUUCAAGACUCCUCCCUGAUUAAAGUGGAAACACAAGAAAACUAAGGAUGGGUGCUGUAUUUGUAGCUCUUUUAAAGUUGGGAGCUUUUUGGGUACUUUCAAAUAUUUGUUUCUUAAAUCCAUUUUCCGUGAAUUGUUCGUUGGAUUGUUAAUUUGUUUGUUUUUUUUUUUUUUUUUUGUGUGUAUGUGUGUCUUGUGCCUUCAAUGUGACCUUAGUCAUUUAAAUUUCUGAAUAGGGAAUUUAUUUGGUCAGGACCUUACAGUGUUUUGAGUGUUAAAUGGCAGCUUAGUGCACUAAGCUCCCGUUGUGCGCGAGAUCAUGGGAAUGGCCAGAUCACAUUUGGUCUAGUGGAAUGGCCGGAUCCCAUUUUACUGUGCACAACCUUACCUUGCUUAUCUGCAAGGGCUGUUUUCACUUUCCACAGCUUGAAUAUGUGACCUCCUAGUCAUACGGCAGUAACUCUUACAAAGUUUGGUUUAUUACAUGGAUAGAGAUGGAUUAAUCAAUGUCUAUGGACUUUUCGGGGUCAUUUGGUUCAGUUCUGGGAUAUCCCAAUUUGAUUAUAGUUUUGGGAUAUCCCAUGGGAUUAUAAUUUUGGAAUAUCCCAUUGGAUUAUCUAUCCCACCUCCUAUACGGGAUAGCUAAUUGCACCAUUUUGGUAUAAAAUUUAUGCUAGUAUAUACCCACAAUCAAACAUGGGAUAACUAUAUUCCCAAAGUUUAUACCGGGAUUAAUAUCCUUAUCCUGGUAACCAAAUGACCCCUCGGGAUAAUGCUACUAUGCGUGCUCCAAUAUAUGUUAAGGAAAAUAAUUUACAGUUACCGUUUAAAAAAAAAGUCAAGGAAGAUACUUGAAAAACAUCAUUGCCAUGAGUUCCAUGCACGCACAACUGCGAAUUUUGUCAAUGAUCUUUUAAACUGCCAUUUUCCCCAACUGAUGUUUUGGGAAAGGUAGAACUUAGAAGCAUUGGCAAAAUACACGGCUCCUCUUUUGGAAAGGGAAAUAGAUGGGAUUUCACAAGGUUAUUUGAAAGUGACAUUAGGUGAAUGAGGAGAGAUUUAUUGCUUUCUAAAUUGUAUACCAUUGGCACUGCUUAUGUAUUUAAGCACUGUGCCAAUUGGUAGUCCGAUACUAUAUUUUCUUGCCUUUUAAAAUUUUCUAACAUGGUAUUGGAUCUAAAUAGUGUCAAUACCAGAUGGCUCUGCUAAGGUAGUAGAGCUUUUACUUUGUUGCUAUUGCUAAGUAUAUAUAAUGGGAAAACAGAAUAAGUGAAAAUGAGUUUCAGUCAGAAUUCUUCUCUUAAUUCAUUAAAUCUUCAUUGUGCAAAGUAUUCAUUUACUGCCUUAUGGUCAAACUGCUGGAUUACCUACUUCGCUAUAGGGCUAAUUCUUGUUCUUCAGACCAGUUGGUUUGAGACGGGAAGAAGUGGCAUGCCAAUUGUUCUUUGUUUGGUAAACCUGUGUUAUUUGUGGAAAAGGUGUGGAUAACUUUGUGAGCCUUUUACAGGUUAUUCCAUCAAGAUGAAACCUGUUUGCCCUUUUGUUAGAGCUUCCAGACCUGAUGACACUUCUAUUAAGAAGCCUGGUGAAAAUCAAAAUAAACAGCCGGCUAGCCAGGAGAGCAAGCCUAAGCAAGAGUCUGGGGAAUCUGCAAUUGUGUCACCCAAAUGCCCCUUUGGAUAUGGCCAGGAGACCAAGCCUAAAGAAGCGUCUGGAGAAUCUGCAGUUGCGUCACCUCAAUGCCCCUUUGGAUAUGGCCAAGAGAACAAGGCUAAACAAGAGUCUGGAGAAUCUGCAACUGUGUCACCUAAAUGCCCCUUUGGAUAUGAUUCUCAAGCAUUUAAGCUGGGUCCUUUUAGCUGCAUGAUUUGUCAGGCACUUCUUUAUGAUUGCAGCAGAUGUGUGCC
rnacentral:lncRNA from 1 species